UACGAAGGGGGCUAGCGUUGCUCGGAAUUACUGGGCGUAAAGCGCACGUAGGCGGCUUUUUAAGUCGGGGGUGAAAUCCUGGAGCUCAACUCCAGAACUGCCUUCGAUACUGAAGAGCUUGAGUCCGGGAGAGGUGAGUGGAACUGCAAGUGUAGAGGUGAAAUUCGUAGAUAUUCGCAAGAACACCAGUGGCGAAGGCGGCUCACUGGACGACUGUUGACGCUGAGGUACGAAAGCGUGGGGAGCAAACAGG
rnacentral:rRNA from 1 species